AUUGCACUCCAGCCUGGGUGACAGAGCGAGACUCCAUCUCAAAAAAAAAAAAAGCCUGACAGCUAGCAGGUUUCAGGAUCCAUCUGCCAAGUUAGUGAAAGGCUGGAGCCUCAAAUCAUACAGAUGAGGGUCAUUUUCUCCUCCUUAGCUUCUUGGAGUUUAAGAGUUGAAGGAGUCCUGAAAAGUAAUGAUAGAGCAAGAUGAAGCUAUCAGAACUGAAUUUGGACUUCCUCUGGGAAACCACACCUAGUUCAUCUGAAGUGUCACGUAAACUGCAGAAAGGUUCCAGUGCUGGAAACUUCUCUCAUACUGUCGUGCCUUCCUACUCAGAAGUGCCUGUGCCCUGCUCAGCUGUGACUACUGACCUCAGGACCUCACUGGACAAGGCAUGUGGGGACCCUUGCAGGAGCCCUGCUGCCAGCUCAUGACCAGGAGGUAACAAGCAGGAAUAAAAGGCCACCAG
rnacentral:lncRNA from 1 species